CAAGAUAAGAACCUUACCAUCCCUUGACAUGUCGUGCCAUCCGGAGAGAUCCGGGGUUCCCUUCGGGGACGCGAACACAGGUGCUGCAUGGCUGUCGUCAGCUCGUGUCGUGAGAUGUUGGGUUAAGUCCCGCAACGAGCGCAACCCACGUCCUUAGUUGCCAUCAUUCAGUUGGGCACUCUAGGGAGACUGCCGGUGAUAAGCCGCGAGGAAGGUGUGGAUGACGUCAAGUCCUCAUGGCCCUUACGGGAUGGGCUACACACGUGCUACAAUGGCGGUGACAGUGGGACGCGAAACCGCGAGGUCGAGCAAAUCCCCAAAAACCGUCUCAGUUCAGAUUGCACUCUGCAACUCGAGUGCAUGAAGGCGGAAUCGCUAGUAAUCGUGGAUCAGCAUGCCACGGUGAAUACGUUCCCGGGCCUUGUACACACC
rnacentral:rRNA from 1 species